rfam:Gossypium raimondii Chr12_contig_438, whole genome shotgun sequence.
AAUUUAUGGUAUGGACAUUUUCUUAACAUCGUCUUGAAACGUUCCUACACCUCGUACAAGGACUCACCUUCUUAUUGUUUGAGAUUAGUGAUUUCUCUCUUGACCU